rnacentral:rRNA from 1 species
UCAUAGCGGAGGAAAAGAAACCAACAGGGAUUGCCCUAGUAACGGCGAGUGAAGCGGCAACAGCUCAAAUUUGAAAUCUGGCCCCCUCGGGGUCCGAGUUGUAAUUUGCAGAGGGAGCUUUUGGCGUCGGUCGUGGUCUAAGUUCCUUGGAACAGGACGUCACAGAGGGUGAGAAUCCCGUACGUGGCCGCCGGCCUUCGCCUUGUAAAGCCCCUUCGACGAGUCGAGUUGUUUGGGAAUGCAGCUCUAAAUGGGAGGUAAAUUUCUUCUAAAGCUAAAUACCCGCCAGAGACCGAUAGCGCACAAGUAGAGUGAUCGAAAGAUGAAAAGCACUUUGGAAAGAGAGUGAAAAAGCACGUGAAAUUGUUGAAAGGGAAGCGCUUGCGGCCAGACUUGCCCGCGGUUGAUCAUCCAGGCUCCGGCCUGGUGCACUCCUCCGCGGGCAGGCCAGCAUCAGUUCGGGCGGUCGGAUAAAGGCCUCUAUCACGUACCACCCCUCGGGGUGGCCUUAUAGGGGAGGCGCAACACGGCCAGCCCGGACUGAGGUUCCGCGCAUCUGCUAGGAUGCUGGCGUAAUGGCAGCAAGCGGCCCGUCUUGAAACACGGACCAAGGAGUCUAACAUCUAUGCGAGUGUUUGGGUGUCAAGCCCGAGCGCGCAAUGAAAGUGAACGGAGGUGGGAACCCUUACCGGUGCACCAUCGACCGAUCCUGAUGUCUUCGGAUGGAUUUGAGUAAGAGCAUAGCUGUUGGGACCCGAAAGAUGGUGAACUAUGCCUGAAUAGGGUGAAGCCAGAGGAAACUCUGGUGGAGGCUCGCAGCGGUUCUGACGUGCAAAUCGAUCGUCAAAUUUGGGCAU